rnacentral:lncRNA from 1 species
GUGACAUUUUCUAAGGCUCCCAUAGGCUCUCAGAAGGCGCCAGAACGGGGAAUGAUAACUCUGCAGUCCCUGGGCGAAAAACAGUAGGGCUUUUGGAAAGUGGUUGUUCUGAGAACAAUGACACUGUUGCGCGCGUGCAUGUGAAGACUCCAUUUUCUAUUUUCAGUGUUUGAAUGAAAACAAUGUCUCCCAGUUGGAAUAUUAUCGCUAUUUUACGAGAAAAAUCGCAUAAAAAUUGAUUUUAAACAGCGUUUGACAUGCUUCCAAGUACGGUAAUGGAAUAUUUGGAAUUUUUUUGUCACGAUACGCACCGGCGCGUCACCCUUCGGAUAGUGUCUUGAACGCAAGAACAAAACGCAGCUAUUUGGAUAUAACUAUGGAUUAUUUGGAACUAAAACAACAUUGGGUGUUGAAGUAGAAGUCCUGGGAGUGCAUUCUGACGAAGAACAGCAAAGGACCUGAGCCCUAGGACCAUGCCUCAGGACUACCUGGCAUGAUGACUCCUUGCUGUCCCCAGUCCACCUGGCCGUGCUGCUGCUCCAGUUUCAACUGUUCUGCCUGCGGCUAUGGAACCCUGACCUGUUCACCGGACGUGCUACCUGUCCCAGACCUGCUGUUCUCAACUCUCUAGAGACAGCAGGAGCGGUAGAGAUACUCUCAAAGAUCGGCUAUGAAAAAGCCAACUGACACUUUCUCUUGAUUUGCUGACUUGUUGCACCUUCGACAACUACUAUGAUUAUUAUUAUUUGACCAUGCUGGUCAUUUAUGAACAUUUUAACAUCUUGACCAUGUUCUGUUAUAAUAUCCACCCGGCACAGCCAGAAGAGGACUGGCCACCCCUCAUAGCCUGGUUCCUCUCUAGGUUUCUUCCUAGGUUUUGGCCUUUCUAGGGAGUUUUUCCUAGGGAGUUUUUCCUAGCCACCGUGCUUCUUUCACAUGCAUUGCUUGCUGUUUGGGGUUUUAGGCUGGGUUUCUGUACAGCACUUUCAGAUAUCAGCUGAUGUACGAAGGGCUAUAUAAAUACAUUUGAUUUGAUUUGAUUUCUGGAAUUCUCUGGUUUGAGCUCCCCAAUUGUAGACCCUCCUCUGCUUUUCUUGGGCUUGGGCCAUAUGAUCUCUUACCAUUGGCCACAACUUCUGCAUCUGAUCACCCAUUUCAGCCACAUGGUCAAUGAGAAUGGGAUGUGGGCUUGACUCAGUCUCCCAGGUCUCCUUUGCAAUGUCCAGGAGGCCCCGUGGUUGUCGUCCAUAAAGGAGCUUGAACGGGGAGAAUCCAGUUGACGCCUGGGGUACCUCCCUUAUGGAAAAGAGAAAAUAUGGCAACAACUGGUCCCAGUUCCUUCCAUCCUGGUCUACUAUCUUACGGAGAAUGCUCUUUAAGGUUUUAUUAAAUCUUUCAACGGGCCCAUCUGUCUGAGGGUUGUGGGGGGAAAUUACAAAAUUACUUAUGCUACCCCGUGUUUUAUUGCUUAAAGAAUUGUCUCUUGUUAUAUGUUAGUGUUUUUUUCUAACCUGAUACAAACUUGUCUUUGUGUGACUUAGUCAUAAGACUGGGCGUAUAGCUAAGAUCCGUUUGGGUGCAGGAAGUCAGCGGUAUGGAAACUUGCAGGAAGGAGCACAUUAUAGUGUGAACUGUGAUAAACGCAGUUAUGGGGUUGAGCCCUCGUGCUAUCAACCUUGGACUAUCUUAAUCUGCACAGACAAACCAAUCUCCUUUUACACACUAUGUUCCGCCACUGUUUCCACACAUCUGCUAACUGCGACCUAGACAAAAAACAUUUGUACUUUUUCUAUAAAAGCUGAGACCCAACUAUGUUCAUUGGGCUUUUAACCCUGCACUAUUUGAGUGAUUGUUGAUUGCUCCAUUUUUGCAAAUCUUAUAAUAAAAUAGCUUUCUG